AGACACUCUUACAGUAUAGUUCUGUUGAUCGCUGACGAAAGUAAUAUGCACAUGAAGUUUAAACUUCUUAUAAUAGGAAUUAAUAAUUAAAGUGGUAAGGUUUGAAUGUAAAAGUGUAUGUUAUUACAUUGCGUUGUGUGUGCAUUAUUUAGCAUAGAAUGAAACAGUAUAAGAUACGAUAAAGACGUAAUAAGAAGUUGAUUAUAUAACCUCCAAAUCGGAUACGUGUAUUCUCCCGCCAAACCAAGUUUAAGAUAGACCGAUACUUCAAGUGAGUGAGGCGUUGGUAAGGCGGUUUGGCAAGAUAUGGAAAAACUUGUCGCUAUCUGUUUUAAGAUAUUAUCGCAGACUUCCAAAGUAAAUGAGGAAAUGUCAGAGAAACAUCACUCAGGAGAUACAGUAUCGACGAGCCUACUAAAUUCGGAGCAGUGCAAUAACCAACAGAAGGCAACGUUCUGUACCAGUAGCACAAUUUUGUGAAUGCGGAAGAGUGAUGUAGACCAUAUGGUGUCGAAUGAAGAGAUGAUUAAUGAAUUCUAAAGUAUGUGGAAGCAAGCGGCCGUGGCCUACAUGAAAUCACUAUCCGGACAUUUGCUUGGAGGAACUGAGGAAAAACACAAAAAUCUCAAUUAUAAUAGCCUGACUCUGGGCCCAGAUUUGAACCUGGAGCCUCUCAAUUGGCAGGAGAGCUUAUCACCCAGCCACGA